rnacentral:rRNA from 1 species
UGGGGAAUUUUGGACAAUGGGCGAAAGCCUGAUCCAGCCAUGCCGCGUGAGUGAAGAAGGCCUUCGGGUUGUAAAGCUCUUUCAGGUGGAAAGAAAAGGUUACGGAUAAUACCUGUGACUGAUGACGGUACCAUCAGAAGAAGCACCGGCUAACUACGUGCCAGCAGCCGCGGUAAUACGUAGGGUGCGAGCGUUAAUCGGAAUUACUGGGCGUAAAGCGUGCGCAGGCGGUUUUGUAAGACAGACGUGAAAGCCCCGGGCUUAACCUGGGAACGGCGUUUGUGACUGCAAGACUAGAGUAUGGCAGAGGGGGGUAGAAUUCCACGUGUAGCAGUGAAAUGCGUAGAGAUGUGGAGGAAUACCGAUGGCGAAGGCAGCCCCCUGGGUCAAUACUGACGCUCAUGCACGAAAGCGUGGGGAGCAAACAGGAUUAGAUACCCAGGUAGUCCCUGAGCGGGCUGGCAAGGCGCAU